rnacentral:rRNA from 1 species
AUUGAACGCUGGCGGCAGGCCUAACACAUGCAAGUCGAGCGGAUGAAGGGAGCUUGCUCCUGGAUUCAGCGGCGGACGGGUGGGUAAUGCCUAGGAAUCUGCCUGGUAGUGGGGGAUAACGUCCGGAAACGGGCGCUAAUACCGCAUACGUCCUGAGGGAGAAAGUGUGGGAUCUUCGGACCUCACGCUAUCAGAUGAGCCUAGGUCGGAUUAGCUAGUUGGUGGGGUAAAGGCCUACCAAGGCGACGAUCCGUAACUGGUCUGAGAGGAUGAUCAGUCACACUGGAAAUGAGACACGGUCCAGACUCCUACGGGAGGAAGAAGUGGGGAAUAUUGGACAAUGGGCGAAAGCCUGAUCCAGCCAAGCAGCGUGUGUGAAGAAGGUCUUCGGAUUGUAAAGCACUUUAAGUUGGGAGGAAGGGCAGUAAGUUAAUACCUUGCUGUUUUGACGUUACCAACAAAAUAAGCACCGGCUAACUUCGUG